GUUUUAAUAAUUUAAUAAAAAUAUUGAUUUUGUAAAUCAAAUUUGAGGUAACCUCUUAAAUCA
rnacentral:tRNA from 2 species